GAUGAACGCUAGCUACAGGCUUAACACAUGCAAGUCGAGGGGAAACGAUAUUGGAAGCUUGCUUCUGAUAGGCGUCGACCGGCGCACGGGUGAGUAACGCGUAUCCAACCUGCCCAUCACUUGGGGAUAACCUUGUGAAAGUAAGACUAAUACCCAAUGACGUCUCUAGAAGACAUCUGAAAGAGAUUAAAGAUUUAUCGGUGAUGGAUGGGGAUGCGUCUGAUUAGCUUGUUGGCGGGGUAACGGCCCACCAAGGCGACGAUCAGUAGGGGUUCUGAGAGGAAGGUCCCCCACAUUGGAACUGAGACACGGUCCAAACUCCUACGGGAGGCAGCAGUGAGGAAUAUUGGUCAAUGGGCGAGAGCCUGAACCAGCCAAGUAGCGUGAAGGAUGAAGGUUCUAUGGAUUGUAAACUUCUUUUAUAAGGGAAUAACAGACUCUACGUGUGGUGUUUUGCAUGUACCUUAUGAAUAAGCAUCGGCUAACUCCGU
rnacentral:rRNA from 1 species